AGAGUUGAUCCUGGCUCAGAAUGAACGCUGGCGGCGUGCAUAACACAUGCAAGUCGAACGAGAAAUCCCGCCUUCGGGUGGGAGAGUAAAGUGGCGCACGGGUGAGUAACGCGUGGGUAACCUGCUCCUGAAUUCGGGAUAACUCCGCGAAAGCGGUGCUAAUACCGAAUGUCGUCACAGGGACCGUGGUCCCUGGGAUUGAAAGGUGACCUCUCCAUGGAAGUUGCCGUUCGGGGAGGGGCUCGCGUACCAUUAGCUUGUUGGUGGGGUAAUGGCCUACCAAGGCUACGAUGGUUAGCUGGUCUGAGAGGAUGAUCAGCCACACUGGCACCUGAAACACGGGCCAGACUCCUACGGGAGGCAGCAGUGGAGGGAAUUUUGCGCAAUGGGGGAAACCCUGACGCAGCAACGCCGCUUGAGUGAAGAAGGCUNUCGGGUCGUAAAGCUCUGUCAAGUGGGAAAAACGACUUCCCGUUAACAGCGGGAAGGCCUGAUGGUACCACUGGAGGAAGCACCGGCUAACUCCGUGCCAGCAGCCCGCGGUAAUACGGAGGGUGCAAGCGUUGUCCGGAAUUACUGGGCGUAAAGAGCGUGUAGGCGGCAAGGUAAGUCAGGCGUGAAAGCCCUGGGCUUAACCCGGGAAGUGCGUUUGAAACUGCCUCGCUCGAGUAUGGGAGAGGAGAGUGGAAUUCCCGGUGUAGAGGUGAAAUUCGUAGAAUAUCGGGAGGAACACCCGUGGCGAAAGGCGACUCUCUGGACCAAAUACUGACGCUGAGACGCGAAAGC
rnacentral:rRNA from 1 species